CGGGUAACGGGGUGUUAGGGCACGACACCGGAGAGGGAGCCUGAGAAACGGCUACCACAUCCAAGGAUGGCAGCAGGCGCGCAAAUUACCCAAUCCCGACACGGGGAGGUAGUGACAAUAAAUAACAAUACGGGGUUCUUUCGGAUCUCGUAAUUGGAAUGAGUACAAUUUAAAUCUCUUAACGAGGAACAAUUGGAGGGCAAGUCUGGUGCCAGCAGCCGCGGUAAUUCCAGCUCCAAUAGCGUAUAUUAAAGUUGUUGCAGUUAAAAAGCUCGUAGUUGAAUUUCGGGGUUAGCAGGUCGGUCGUGCCAUUGGUAUGAACUGGUCUCGCUGAUCCCUCCCUCUUGACGAACUGUGAUGCCAUUAAUUUGGUGUCGCAGGGAAUCAGGACUGUUACUUUGAAAAAAUUAGAGUGUUUAAAGCAGGCUUACGCUUGAAUACAUUAGCAUGGAAUAAUGAAAUAGGACGUUUGAUCCUAUUUUGUUGGCUUCUAGGAUUGACGUAAUGAUUAAUAGGGAUAGUUGGGGGCAUUAGUAUUCAAUUGUCAGAGGUGAAAUUCUUGGAUUUAUUGAAGACUAACUACUGCGAAAGCAUUUGCCAAGGAUGUUUUCAUUAAUCAAGAACGAAAGUUAGGGGAUCGAAGACGAUCAGAUACCGUCGUAGUCUUAACCAUAAACUAUGCCGACUAGGGAUCGGAUGAUGUUAAUUUUUUAAUGACUCAUUCGGCGCCUUACGG
rnacentral:rRNA from 1 species